AGGUCGAUCCCGGGGAUGCGGCGUCUCUCGCAGCAGCAGCAGCCAGCUCCCUGCUUGUCUGGGUGCUCGGUGACAGGAGGCUGCCAGAAAGGGCUGCGCACCAUGAAAACACCACCACACCAGGUGUGGCUGUGCCUCACACCACCCACUUCUCCUCCAGACUUCACCAUGUGUAUGCCAAGUGGGUCCUGGUGCUUUGGAAAUUUGAGUGCCAAGACCUGGAAUGCCAGCUGUGUGCUUCCCCCCCCCCAAAAUUAGCAAGACCUACUGGGAUACGAGAUUGGAAGUGAGAGGAAGAAUGACAAAUCACUAGAAGUGCUGAAGAACUCUCUGUACUUCAGAUAAGAUUUAAUGAACAACCAAGUCUGAACAAGAAAUCUGUCUCUUUAGCAUUCAAUCCUGACUGAGUGAAGGCAGAAGAAAAAAGAUAACCACUAUCAAGACUUUGUGAUGCACUUCACAAGUGACAGUCACUUGCACUGGCCUUGGGAUCUAAGUAGGAAAAUAGAGGCCCAAGAAGGGGUGAGCGAUAUUGCACUUACGGACAGGCACUCCAUGGCACUGGUCUGAAUGCAACACUGAAAUUCACCAGCUCAUCAGUAUUAUAUUUAGGAGCCUAUAUUAUCAUUUACCAUCCCCAGUAUGGAAAAAUGACCCCCCACUAGCCCACUUUCAGCUUUGCCUUCAGUACACCAAAUAUGUGAGUUGAACAACACUUCUAUUUGAUUCAUUGUUUGUUUGGGGUUUUUUUAAAAUAAAAAUGACCUGAAAACUGGAGUUUCCUAUGCUGUCUGUUCAUCUUUGCUGCCACUGAGUUCUGCAAGUAACAACACUGAAAAAAAAUUCAUCCAUCAGGAUUUGGAGGCUUA